UAUGAGACCUCCUCAGCCAUGUGGAACUAUAAAGCAACUGAAACACAGAAAACUAGGUCACUACCUGAGAUCACACAGUGAUCAUACUCAUCGCAUCCCCGUCCUCGCCAGCCUUGAAGUCAGCCUCAAUGUAUUCGUAUACGAGAAAAGAUGAUUUAAAUACUGCCAGUUACAGGAUAAUUAAUCUUUGAACUACUCAGUAACUUCAAAUGUAUAUACCAAGUAAUCUGCAUGAACUUGUAAUUACUAUGUAUUUAUACGAUAUUUCCCAUGUAAUCACCAAGUCGUUACAUGGUUAUGUGAGCCUUGUAAAUUAUGGCGAUAGCAGAAAACUAAUCUUGCCCAUGCCACUGCAGAAAAGCCCAUUCAGGAGCCGCUGGUAUCCACCACAGUCAAUUAAUUGAAGGAUCCAGAAAGAGUCUAUCUUUUAAAGGACAUUAAGACGUUUGCCUGCAAUAAAGUCCCAAGUUUAAGAAAUAUUGGGCGGUUGAGAGCCUGGUGAGGUGGGUAGAGAGUGGCCUUUGUCAUCAGCUUACACACAAAGACUGUGACUGGUUUGGGCCAUUUAUUGCUGCUAGAGUUGAAAAGCAAUUGGAGAAAAAAAAAUCUCAGGGCCAAAUCCACCAUCGCUUCCAUAAGCAGCAUUCUGCUUAUGGAAUAAUAUUCUGAAAUAAAUUCCAAUAUGAGUUUCAAAAGCAAACCCAGAGGCAGAUUUAGUUCAGCAUCUUUUCGAACCCAAUUAAAAUGGAGCAAAGCCUCCAGUUUUUCCAGACCAAGGCAUCUUGUUCUGAUGUUCCAAAAGUCAGCUCUUUCAUGAGUGAACUGUGUGUGCAUGUGCAUGUGCACACCUGUGCCCAUACACACACACACACACACAGGUUCAUGAGCUAUCUUAAUGUCUUCAAAAUCCACAUUGGAUCCUGGGGCCCCUUUUAUUCAAAAGCAACCAUCCAAACGGGAAGGACUCCUCUCCUUCUCGUCUAAGGGUCCUCUCCUUUCUCCCUGGCAGGACAGCUGGGUCUGUUUUUUGCCCAAUAAAGAAUGAGGUAGCAUGCAAAGCCUUGGCCUUCCUGGGAGCUACAAGUGGCUGUGCCACUCAGAAAAGGGCAAGGUGGCAGAGAAGCUAGCUCUAUAUUGGAUUUUCAAUUUCUCGAGAAUUAUCAGCUUUCCUCUUGGCUCAGCACUGUUAGACAUAGGAAGGGAGAGUCCAGGCAAUAACCUUGAAGACUACCAAGGACCUGCUGCUCAGCUGACCCACAUCCAAACCCUUGUCUGACUCCCAUGCACCCUUGAGACAGGAUCUCCAAACCACUAAGGCAUCCUGAGGAAAUUGUUCAUCCCUCCCAAAUCCGUCAGCAGCCAGCAAGGCUGAAUGAGACCCACCCAAUUCACUUUCAUUCCCCAUUGGAUCUAUUGAUUCCAGGCUUUCCAAGCCCAGAGUGGAACUCACAGUGGAAAUCCUAUAAGGUCUCAUGUCUGGAACAGUGAGUGCUGUGGAGCCCAGAGUUCAUUCCAUGCAGCUGGAAGAGAGAUGCUGAGGCUGGGUCAUGGCCAAUCUGGGCUGUUUCAACAACCUCCAUGGGGCCUCAAUGAAAUGGCUCAUCACUCAGGCUUUGGGUUUUAUGGUUUCGCAGUAUAAAGAUGAGUUUCUGGGAUUCCUAAA